GCAUGUUCACAUGAUUAAAGGUAUUCCGGUAGACGAUGGGGAUGCGUUCCAUUAGAUAGUAGGCGGGGUAACGGCCCACCUAGUCUUCGAUGGAUAGGGGUUCUGAGAGGAAGGUCCCCCACAUUGGAACUGAGACACGGUCCAAACUCCUACGGGAGGCAGCAGUGAGGAAUAUUGGUCAAUGGGCGAGAGCCUGAACCAGCCAAGUAGCGUGAAGGAUGACUGCCCUAUGGGUUGUAAACUUCUUUUAUAAAGGAAUAAAGUCGGGUAUGCAUACCCGUUUGCAUGUACUUUAUGAAUAAGGAUCGGCUAACUCCGUGCCAGCAGCCGCGGUAAUACGGAGGAUCCGAGCGUUAUCCGGAUUUAUUGGGUUUAAAGGGAGCGUAGAUGGAUGUUUAAGUCAGUUGUGAAAGUUUGCGGCUCAACCGUAAAAUUGCAGCUGAUACUGGAUAUCUUGAGUGCAGCUGAGGCAGGCGGAAUUCGUGGUGUAGCGGUGAAAUGCUUAGAUAUCACGAAGAACUCCGAUUGCGAAGGCAGCCUGCUAAGCUGCAACUGACAUUGAGGCUCGAAAGUGUGGGUAUCAAACAGGAUUAGAUACCCUGGUAGUCCACACGGUAAACGAUGAAUACUCGCUGUUUGCGAUAUACAGCAAGCG
rnacentral:rRNA from 1 species